CAGCACAAUAUAUGAGCCGCUUAUUUUGAAAGUGACCUAACUCCGUUUUUCAAUUUUUUGCCGGUUACCAUGGUUACAUGUACAACUUCAUGUUAUUUAUCAGUGACGCACUUCAGAUUGCUUAUAUUCAGAGAAAAUACGGUACAUUUUUUACACAUAGGUUUUCCGAAUUAAUUGAAUAACUGACCCGUGUGGUUUGAAAGUGGCCUAACUCCAUUUAUAGUUACAUCAAGGUAUUUACUAUUGAUAAUGUCGGAAAGCAGCGAUGAAGAAAUUAUUGCAAGCAUGAGGAAGAACCGAAGAAGACCACUUAGUUCAGAUAGUGAAAAAGAAAUAGUAAUUAAUAAUUUAAAAAAAGCGAAUAAGAAAAAGAGUUAUAAAAUAAUAUUCCUCGUCAGAGGAUGAAGAUUCAAAUAACAAUGGAGAAAAGAUUGAUGCACCAUAUAUCCAAAAAGUGCGAAAGAUAAAACGGAAUUCAGGAAAAAGAUAUUGCUGUUAAACCGGAAGUAUUCUUCAUGAAAAAAAUUUCGAACCAGAGAUUGUGGUUGUCGGAAUGCGUGCACAAAAAAUUAUAAUGAAGAAGAAAGAAAGAAUAUUUUUGAGAAGUUUUGGGGUUUGGCAGAUUUUAACAAACAAAAUGUAUUACUUCACGAAGCUGCCUGUGAAACGAAGACGUUUUUUUUUCUUCAAUUUGAAACAUCUUAAAUUAUGUUGAAUGGACUUGGGCAUCUUCAAAUUUUAUAAUGAAUCUGGCUGUUAAUUUUGAAAGUGGCCCAACUCCAUUCUCGAUAAGGAAACGCACGUUAUUUACUUAAUAAUUGCCACUACUUUAACAGGAACAGUAAAUUUAACAUCCUAAGAUA